rnacentral:rRNA from 1 species
UAAGGUGACUAUAGCGUCGGGGAUCCACCUCUUCCCAUCCCGAACAGAGAAGUUAAGCCCGACUACGCCGAUGGUACUGCGCAAGUGGGAGAGUAGGUAGUCGCCGUUU